rnacentral:rRNA from 1 species
CCUACGGGUGGCAGCAGUGAGGAAUAUUGGUCAAUGGCCGUAGGGCUGAACCAGCCAAGUCGCGUGAAGGAAGAAGGAUCUAUGGUUUGUAAACUUCUUUUGUCAGGGACGAAGCAAGUGACGGUACCUGACGAAUAAGCCACGGCUAACUACGUGCCAGCAGCCGCGGUAAUACGUAGGUGGCAAGCGUUAUCCGGAUUUACUGGGUGUAAAGGGCGUGUAGGCGGGGAAGCAAGUCAGAUGUGAAAACCACGGGCUCAACCUGUGGCCUGCAUUUGAAACUGUUUUUCUUGAGUGCUGGAGAGGCAAUCGGAAUUCCGUGUGUAGCGGUGAAAUGCGUAGAUAUACGGAGGAACACCAGUGGCGAAGGCGGAUUGCUGGACAGUAACUGACGCUGAGGCGCGAAAGCGUGGGGAGCAAACAGGAUUAGAUACCCUUGUAGUC